GGGGCUGAUUCUGGAUUCGACGGGAUUUGCGAAACCCAAGGUGCAUGCCGAGGGGCGGUUGGCCUCGUAAAAAGCCGCAAAAAAAUAGUCGCAAACGACGAAACCUACGCUUUAGCAGCUUAAUAACCUGCUUAGAGCCCUCUCUCCCUAGCCUCCGCUCUUAGGACGGGGAUCAAGAGAGGUCAAACCUAAAAGAGAUCGCGUGGAUGCCCUGCCUGGGGUUGAAGCGUUAAAACGAAUCAGGCUAGUCUGGUAGUGGCGUGUCCGUCCGCAGGUGCCAGGCGAAUGUAAAGACUGACUAAGCAUGUAGUACCGAGGAUGUAGGAAUUUCGGACGCGGGUUCAACUCCCGCCAGCUCCACCA
rnacentral:tmRNA from 1 species